rnacentral:rRNA from 1 species
UGGCUGCAGUGAGGAAUUUUGCGCAAUGGGGGAAACCCUGACGCAGCAACGCCGCGUGAGUGAAGAAGGCCCUUGGGUCGUAAAGCUCUGUCGACAGGGAAGAAAUUACCAUUGUUUAAUAGAUGGUGGUAUUGACGGUACCUGUAGAGGAAGCACCGGCUAACUCCGUGCCAGCAGCCGCGGUAAUACGGGGGGUGCAAGCGUUAUUCGGAAUUAUUGGGCGUAAAGGGCGCGUAGGCGGUCUUGUCGGUCAGAUGUGAAAGCCCGGGGCUCAACCCUGGAAGUGCAUUUGAAACAGCAAGACUUGAGUACGGGAGGGGAGAGCGGAAUUCCUGGUGUAGAGGUGAAAUUCGUAGAUAUCAGGAGGAACACCGAUGGCGAAGGCAGCUCUCUGGACCGAUACUGACGCUGAGGCGCGAAGGUGUGGGUAGCAAACGGGAUUAGAUACCCCUGUAGUC